AUUGAACGCUGGCGGCAUGCCUUACACAUGCAAGUCGAACGGUAACAGGUUAAGCUGACGAGUGGCGAACGGGUGAGUAAUGUAUCGGAACGUGCCCAGUCGUGGGGGAUAACUGCUCGAAAGAGCAGCUAAUACCGCAUACGACCUGAGGGUGAAAGCGGGGGAUCGCAAGACCUCGCGCGAUUGGAGCGGCCGAUAUCAGAUUAGGUAGUUGGUGAGGUAAAGGCUCACCAAGCCGACGAUCUGUAGCUGGUCUGAGAGGACGACCAGCCACACUGGGACUGAGACACGGCCCAGACUCCUACGGGAGGCAGCAGUGGGGAAUUUUGGACAACGGGCGCAAGCCUGAUCCAGCCAUGCCGCGUGCGGGAAGAAGGCCUUCGGGUUGUAAACCGCUUUUGUCAGGGAAGAAAAGGUUCUGGCUAAUACCUGGGACUCAUGACGGUACCUGAAGAAUAAGCACCGGCUAACUACGUG
rnacentral:rRNA from 1 species